AUCAGCAUUUUCCUCCCCUAACUGUGACCAUUGUUCCCAGUCUUGUCCUAAGGUUCUUUUUUUUAGUGUGCGCACAUUUGUUACUUACACCUGCUAUGUGACUAUGCCGUCACUUCUGUACACCAUCCAAUCUGUCAGCUCACACUAAACUGGGUAUUGCAAAAAAGGCAGUUAUCGGGUCUAAAUGUAAAAGCCCAGAGACUAAAGCAGUGGAUUUAAUUACAUAAAAAUGCCUUCAAGGCUAAAUUCUCAUCUUCUGACUCUGCUCUGAGUGCUGGGCUCAUGAGCUUCCAUGUGGAUAGAUUCAGUAGUGCUUCGAAGAAAAUCCAUAUUUUCUUUUAACUCUAACCAACCCAGAACCAAAAACACCUCUUUUCUUAUGUAGGUAGUAGUGGUGGUGGGGAUUCCCCAAAUGGAUCUCCCUGGCUUGUGCUGAAUCAGCCUUCCCUUAAACUGGUGGUUCUCCACCUUUCUAAUGCUGCGACCCCUUCAUGCAGUUCUUCAUGUGGUGAACCUCAAUCAUAAAAUUAUUUUCGUUGCUACUUCAUAAUUGUAAUUUGGGAGUCGAGACACAUAGUUUAUUGGAACCGGCCCUUCUAAUUAGUCCUUGUUAUGGAAUCCAGUAAUUGGGGAUUGGGCUGAGGAAGAAGCUGACCUGCAGUGUAGCAGCCAUAAAGCCCUUAACCAGUUCCUUAACCCAAUUGCUACUUACAAAGGAUUCCUUGCUGAAGUACCCAUUUCCCUGUUGCUGAGUCCUCCCUCUCUGGACAAGGUCACACACACACAAACACACCCAAUAGCCAGACUCCAUUCAGGGAGAUUUUUCCCCUACCCUUAAACCCCUCAAAUUGAGGCAGUCGAAUUGACCACCCCAACUCUGGAGCUCCUUCUGGGAUUCCAUAACAAGGUACUGGAUUCCAUAACAAGGACUACUUAGAAGGGCCCCUGUAGGGGCCUUAGGGCUCACCCUGACCACGCCUCCUGGGGCUGGCUACAGGUAUACGCCCCUAGGGGGCGUGGCCAGGAUGAUGUGAGGGUAGGUCACAUGCGGGAAAGCUCUCUUCUCGCUGUUGCUUCCACGUUUUCUGGUCUCCUGCCGGCUGGCUAGGUGCACUGUAAGUAAGGCACAUUCACCUAAUAAAUAUACCCUAACCCUAUCUGCUUACGUAUUGGCGAAUCUCCGUUUAUAGGCCGGUCCCAAUAAACUUCCAGCAUGCAAACCUCCCUCUCAGGGUCUGUGUCCCCAAGAACCCAAACCUAAGACACCCAGUCAAAUAACCUAGUGGAAAAUGAUUUUUCAAAGAAUACCUGAGGUAUUGUAAAAAGGACAAAAGGUAGUAUAAACAUACGUAAGGCCUUAAGGCACAACCAUUGCACAACCAGAUCAUAAUUUAUCGACUACCCUAUUACUUUAUACCACAAUUAGUAUACAACUUGUGCUUUCCGCCCUACUUCCUAGGCCGCAUGCUAAAAGUAGAAUUGAUGUGUCAAAGAGUAAUAAUAUUUAUGCCAAACCUGGGGGCACAUGCCUGUGAUCCCAUGACUUCAUUGGCUGAGGCAGGAGUAACUACUUACUGAGUAACUAAACCUUAUGUUUUAAACCAGGGACAAAUGGUUGAGUUAUCUAUUUAACAUACCAAAGCAGACCUGGCUGUCAGGUUCUCCCAACACCCCUCAGUAUCUACCUGUUACAGGGUAUGUCAUAUCCCUCCCUGUUGUAUAUCCGGUGUGGGUUCACACGGGUCUGUGGAAGUAAGACAAAGAGGUAUAAGGAUGGAAGUCUUUUCCAGCUUCAGGGGGAUCAGUCUUUAGCAGACUCACUCACUGUCCUUAUUAGCAAAGGGCUUUUUUAAAUUAACAAGUUAAUUUCUGUACACCAAAACGUUUUAUCUAAGUUCCCCAAGGGACAAUGGCAAAUGCAAAUUCUCAAUUAAGGGGCACCUGGUUUGCCAGGUUCUCCCCCAACCAAGUUUGCACAGGCUUUGCACCUUUAGGAAACUCUCAGGCAAGAUUUACAUAUUUCAAAAGAAAGGUACCAGAGACAUUAAAGCUAGGUACAAACCAGCUACAAAAAUCUCCAGAAGCUCCCCCUACACCACACUUUAUCCUGAACUCUCCAGCCCAGGGGCUGGGCUGCCCUUCCCCCAGGGCUCUUCCCUAAUAAUCCAGAUAUGGUCAUGUCCACUCUGGAGGCUCUCUGCCUCUGACUAUGCUCUUCUAUAUAUCUACAAUAAACUGUCUCCUCCACUAUACCUAGGAGCAGUCAUGUUCUUCCUGUCCUUUUAUUUCUUUUUUUCAUGAUGAUAAAAACUGAGUUCAAAAAUAGUGUGGGUUAGAAACUUUCUUUCUUCUUUUUCCCAAGACAGUUUCUCAGUAGUCGUGGCUGUCCUGGAACUGGCUCUGUAGACCAGGAUAGCCUUGAACUCAGAGAUCCCCCUGCCUCUGCCUCCCCAGUGCUAGAAUUUAAAAGCAUGCACCACCACUACCCACCACCCAUCAAUCAUCUUUUAUUUUUUUUUAAAAAAAGGAUGUGAAAAUUUUAAACUGUUCCUAUGAUGUAUACUAAGGCUUAUUACAUGUACCUAACAAUUUUCUGAUAGAUCUGUAUUUAUGCCACAAUUAUUAUACACUUUGCAUUUUGUUCUUUAUCUAAAAAAUGAAAAAAUGGUAUCUUACAUCUUUUAAAUGCCUUGAGAUCAAAAUUUCCUAUAUUCUUUUUAAAUGUGCAUGUAUAUAUUCCAGUGUUCCUGCAUAGGUGUGAGGAUGCCUGAGGCCAGAAGAGGGCAUGGGAUCCCCUGGAGCUAGAAUUACAGUCUGCUGUGAACCACCUGAUGUGGUAUUGGAGAAUCCAACCAGGAAUGCUCUGAUUUGAGAAAAGCGGCUGGCUGGGCAUGAACCCCACUUGAUGCCUCACGGCCAGAGAGGAAGGCACGCCAUCUCCAUCUGUCUAUCUGUGUGGUGCUUGUACUUCACCACAAUGACUUUUCAUCUAAGACUCUGGAAUCAUGCACAUGGUGGCAUGAACCUGGGAAAGUUAGACGGAAGGAUUGCUGAAGUUCGAGCCUGCUGGGGGUAUACAGUGAAUCUGUUUCGCAAAGCCAAAGCAAAGUUUAUCUUCCUUUUCAGAAGGUCACCCUUCACCUAACAAAGUAGAAGCUUUUCCAAAAGUGCCAGACUUCCAGGGCUCUGGAGACAAAGGCCAGGCUGCAGCUGAAAUGCAAUCAAUGGAUUCUUAAAAUUAUAUCAAACCACCCUCAGACCUAUGGUAAAAACUUUAAAUCUGUAUUCAUAGAACAUCAGCUUGUUUUUGAGAUGUCAGUGUCCUAAAAGUUUUCCUUUGUGGCCCACCCCCAUAUCCAUAGUCCUUUUGACCCUCCAUUCUGUACCUCACUAUUCUACUAAUAAAACCAAGUGCCAAAUAGCAUUUCUCCAUUCCCUAGUCAAACAAGGAGUCAACAGAAACAUCACAUUACACUGACCUGAGACCAUACAACUGUUGAAGAUAUCCUCAAUCCUUUAAAAACUAAGGUGCUGCCUAGCAUGUAUUAACUAUGAAUGCUUUAAAAAUAGCCACAGCAUUUCUCAUGUGCAAGUAAUCCAUCUAGUUCAGACCCCUGUAAAUUAUGCAUACUUACCUACUGUAUGAAUUCAGUAGAUUUAUAUCAUAGAACCUUAAAUCCUGGUUAUUUAAAAGGAUCCCAUCAUUUUACACACGAGGAAAUCAGAAAACUUAAAUAAUUAGGUUAUUAGUAACUGGAUUCUAGGUUUGUCUUUGCCCCAUACUUAAGGUGAAGUCAUCACGUUUUGCCAAAUCACUGUAAUUCAUCCAUACAUGGCUCAUUGUCUCAGUGUCUGAUGCAGACAGAGAUCAUGUAUGAUUCAAUGUUCCAUGGUAGCUAGAUUCAAGUCUCACUUCACAUUUCCACAGAGCUUGCCAUUGUGUCCCGGUUGCCCUGUUUCAUGAGUCCAGUUUGUUUGCUUGUUUUUGAGACAGGGUCCAUUAUGUGACUAUGGCUGUCCUGGAACUCUCUCUGACCACCAGGCUGGCCUCAAACUCACAAGAGAUCUGCCUGUCUCUGCCUCCCAAUUAAUGGCACUUGCAAUGGGAGCUGGGGCUUCCAUUCAAUCAGCAUCUCCAAGGGUUAGGUGUUAAAUGUUUGCUGUUCUUCUCACCCCUCCCCCAAAUAAACCCAAAGGAAACACAAUGGGGUUUCUAAACAUACAAGCAGUAGAACUAAACUAGUUAAUUCUCUAAGCUUGUUCUUUUCCAUGGAAUGGUUAAAGAAUUCUGUGUGCCAAGCUGUGUUUAGAUUGCAGGCAGGCAGAUCUGAUGGGCGUUACAGGCAUCAGAUUAUUCUUCUCACGCAUUGCAUCCCAACUGCAGCCUCCCCUCCCUCCUCUCCUCCCAGCCCCCCUCCCGCACUUCUCUCUCCCAGAUCCACUGCUCCUCCGUUUUCCUCCCAAGGAUAUGAACAUGGCAUAACAAGAUGCAGUAAUACCAGGCACAAACCCUCACACCAAGGCUGGGUGAGGUGACCCAGUAUGAGGAAAAGGAUCCCAAGAGCAUACAAAAGAGUCAGAGGCACCCCACUCCCACUGUUCGGAGUUCCACAAGCACACCAAGCUAACAACCUUCACAUACAUGCAGGGGAACUAGCCCAGACCCACGAAGGCUCCCUGUUUGUCACUUCAGUCUGUGAGCUGGGAACCCUGCUUAGUUAGCUGAUUCUGUUUACCUGGUGUCUUUGUCCCCUCUGACUCCUACAAUCCUUUCUCCUCUUCUUUAAUGGGGUUCCCAGAGCUCUGCCUAAAUUCAGCUGUGGGUCUCUGCAUCUGCUCCCAUCAGCUGUGGGAGAAAGCCUAUCUAUGACUAUAACAGAAUAUCAUUAGGAAUCAUUUUAUUGGCUUUUUUUUUUUUUUCUGUCCUAAGUCUCUGGGCUAUCUAACCUUGGGUUCUUUGUCAUCCAUCAAGGUAGUGUCAGGCAUGGGCUCCCUUUCGUGGAGUGGGCCUCAGAAUUAGACCAGUCAUGGUUGGCCACUCCCACAAGUUCUGUGCCUCCAUUCCCACCCCACCCCCAAAAGAUCUUGCAGGCAGGAUAAGAUUUUGUGGCUGGGUUGGUGUCCAUUCCCACCAUCAGAAAUUGCAUGGAUAAAGAAGGUAGCCAGUUCAGGCUCUGUAGCCUCCAUUACUAGGAGUCCAUGCUAGGGUCACCUUCACAGAAUCUGGGGAGUUUCUACUGCACCAAGUUUCCACUUCGCCCUUCAAUGCCCUCCAAGCCCAGUCGUUUCUUCCUGUACUCCGGCUCCAUUUCCCCGGCCCCAGCCAAAUCUCUCCUAUUCCUAGUCCCACCAUCAAAAUCUAUUUUAUUUCCCCUUCCCAGAGAGAUGCAUGUGUCCCCUUUAGAGCUCUCCUUGUUACCUAGCCUUUUUGGGUCUGUGGGUUGUAGUAUGGUUAUCAUUUACUUAACAGCCAAUAUCCAAUUAUAAAUGAGUAUAUACCAUGUUUGUCUUUCUGAGUAGGGUUACCUACUCAGGGUUUUUUUUUUUUUUUUCUGAUUCCAUCUAUUUGCCUGUAAAUUUCACGAUGUUAGUUUUUCUAACAACAGAGUAAUGCUUCAUUGUGUAAAUGUACCACAAUUUCUUUAUCCAUUUGUUGGUUCAGGGACAUCUAGGUUGUUUACAGUUUCUUGCUAUUAUGUUUAAAGCUGCUAUGAACAUCAUUGGGCAAUUGUUUGUGGCAUGAUGGACCACCCUUUGGUUAUGUGCCUGAAGAGGUCAAAGACAACUUAACCAGACUAUCACCAUGACAGAGACCGGCCACUGGAGUAGGCCUAAGUUUCAGUUUACUUUUGGCAACCACCCUGUUCCAGGGAAAACUGACAUCACCCAAGACUGGACCGAUCAGCAUUCAGAGGGAAAAUACAUAAAGUUCCAAUUGUAAGAGCACCAGAUGUCCCUAAGCCCAGCACACACCUAUACUUUUCGCCAAGACACCCCCAGUCAAAUGUCAGCCAAUCAAGUGUCCUAAAAGAUGAAAACCCCCUGACCUCAACCCCUGCUAUGAAAAAACAAAAAAACAAAAAAACAACAACAAAAAAAAACUACCCCAACUGGGCUCAAGGCUCUCUGAGGGUCCAAGCUCAAGACUGAAUAAAAGUUCUUUGAUUUUCAUAUGGA